rnacentral:rRNA from 1 species
AUUGAACGCUGGCGGCAUGCUUUACACAUGCAAGUCGAACGGUAACAGGCCGCAAGGUGCUGACGAGUGGCGAACGGGUGAGUAAUGCAUCGGAACGUGCCCAGUCGUGGGGGAUAACGCAGCGAAAGCUGCGCUAAUACCGCAUACGAUCUAUGGAUGAACGCGGGGGACCGUAAGGGCUCGCUCGAUUGGAGCGGCCGAUGUCAGAUUAGGUAGUUGGUGGGGUAAAGGCCCACCAAGCCAACGAUCUUUAGCUGGUCUGAGAGGACGACCAGCCACACUGGGACUGAGACACGGCCCAGACUCCUACGGGAGGCAGCAGUGGGGAAUUUUGGACAAUGGGCGCAAGCCUGAUCCAGCAAUGCCGCGUGCAGGAAGAAGGCCUUCGGGUUGUAAACUGCUUUUGUACGGAACGAAAAGACUCUGGUUAAUACCUGGGGUCCAUGACGGUACCGUAAGAAUAAGCACCGGCUAACUACGUGCCAGCAGCCGCGGUAAGAC